rnacentral:rRNA from 1 species
CCUACGGGUGGCAGCAGUGGGGGAUAUUGCACAAUGGGGGAAACCCUGAUGCAGCGACGCCGCGUGGGCGAAGAAGUAUUUCGGUAUGUAAAGCCCUAUCAGCAGGGAAGAAGAAAUUACGGUACCUGAGUCAGAAGCCCCGGCUAACUACGUGCCAGCAUCCGCGGUAAUACGUAGGGUGCAAGCGUUAUCCGGAUUUACUGGGUGGAAAGGGAGCGCAGGCGGCACGGCAAGCCUGAUGUGAAAGCCCGCGGCCCAACCGCGGGACUGCUCUUGGAACUGCGAGGCUGGAGUGCAGGAGGGGGAGGCGGAAUUCCUGGUGUAGCGGUGAAAUGCGUAGAUAUCAGGAGGAACACCGGUGGCGAAGGCGGCCUGCUGGACUGAGACUGACGUUGAGGUCCGAAAGCGUGGGGAGCAAACAGGAUUAGAUACCCUGGUAGUC